CCUGCUUCUCCUGGUUGGACCUG
rnacentral:miRNA from 1 species